AAGGGCACCACAAGAACGCGUGGAGCAUGUGGCUUAAUUUGACUCAACGCGGGAAAUCUUACCGGGUCCGGACACAUUGAGGAUUGACAGGCAAUAUUAUUUAAAUGAACUUCGGUUUGUUUUUAUAUGUAAAUAUGCUAGUCCUUUCAUGAUUAUGUGAUAGGUGGUGCAUGGCCGUUCUUAGUUCGUGGAGUGAUCUGUCUGCUUAAUUGCGUUUCACUAAGAGCUUAUAUAUAAACGUAUGUUUGCUCUCAUAUUUGACCCCCGUUUGAUUUUUCUUCUUCGGAGGAUUUCAUUGAACGUGUGUGUUGUCAUUUGUGUUUCAAGCAUCAUACAAUUAAGCUCUGAAAGCAACGAACGUGACCGCAACCUCUUGUUGCCUCUAAUUUAAUUUUUUUUUUCCUUCGGGAAGAGAGAAUGCAAAAGAGGCUUUAAAACUAGAGGGACCGCUGUAACUUUUUUAAACCAGAGGAAGGUUGCGGCAAUAACAGGUCUGUGAUGCCCUUAGAUGUUCCGGGCUGCACACGUGCUACAAUGAUUGUUGCAGUGAGCAUCUCAAAUAAACACCGUGGUCAAGCUAAUUUGGUGUACUUUGAUUGUUUGAUGGUCGAUUUCGGUUGAUCGUUGGACUUUCUUUGUUAUCCUUAUUCAGUCAGACUCGGUUAAGCCUGCUUCGAAAGUAAGUAGGUAAUCAAUCCGAAGUAACGAUUUCCCAACUUUAGCACACCUAUAUGCGGCGUUUAUACCCUGGCAUUUGCUUGUCAAGUGUUUUUGUGUGUAUAGAUGUUUUCUGCAUGUGCUUUUGUCAAUUCAAGGUGGGGACAAACCAUUGUUAAUUGUUGGUUUCGGUCUUAACUAGGAAUGCCUUGUACGGGUCUUUGGUUCAACAAACCACCCGGAAUACGUCCCUGCCCUUUGUACACACCGCCCGUCGCUCUUACCGAUGGACUUAUCUGUGAGUUUGAGGGACUGGAUAUUUAACUUUCGAGUUAAUCUUCUAUGGAAACUUAAACGAACAGGUUGGUCUAAAGGAAAGAGAAGUCGAACAAGGCA
rnacentral:rRNA from 1 species